GCGACAACACGCGUGCAACGUGUCACGUCCCGCGAGUCUGUGUCGCGUGACAUCAAUACCGCGAAACUUCGCCAAACUUUCGACAAUUUUGGUAUGUUCGUUUGUAAUGUUUCAACUAUAGAAAAACUAUGUAAUUUAAGUGUUUUUUGUGACAACUGAUAAUUUUUUGGGAAAGCGGGCAUGCCAUACCAGUCCUCGUGGUGGUAGCGUUGUCCGGAGUGAAAGUAUGCAACCCCGACGAUCAGAGUGUGCGCAUGUCACACGCGCUGCGUC